AUGCACUUCUUUCCUUUUGAUAGAGCUACUUGUCUUGUUAUAGCCUUGUCUGAGAGGCAGGUAAAUUACAUUCUUUACAAUUUGAUGAGUUCUGUCUCAUUUUUCUCACUACAGUUGAUGCUUAUGGUACACCUGUCUAUGAAACUAAGAACACUCAAAAACAUCUUUUCAGUAAUAAUUAACUACUCACUGCAACAGAUAAAAAUAGGUGGCGGGGGUGAUUUACCAUCUCUAAACCUUAUUGAGAGCCAAAAAGAGUAUGGCUGGAGUAGUCUUGUCAAUAAGCAUCGACUGACCUGCAACUGCAUUUACCCACUGACCAGCUACACGUUUUCAUUCUGA
rnacentral:rRNA from 1 species